GCUCAGAUUGAACGCUGGCGGCAGGCUUAACACAUGCAAGUCGAGCGGUAACAGGAGAAGCUUGCUUCUCGCUGACGAGCGGCGGACGGGUGAGUAAUACUUAGGAAUCUACCUAGUAGUGGGGGAUAGCUCGGGGAAACUCGAAUUAAUACCGCAUACGACCUACGGGAGAAAGGGGGCAACUUGUUGCUCUCGCUAUUAGAUGAGCCUAAGUCGGAUUAGCUAGAUGGUGGGGUAAAGGCCUACCAUGGCGACGAUCUGUAGCUGGUCUGAGAGGAUGAUCAGCCACACCGGGACUGAGACACGGCCCGGACUCCUACGGGAGGCAGCAGUGGGGAAUAUUGGACAAUGGGGGCAACCCUGAUCCAGCCAUGCCGCGUGUGUGAAGAAGGCCUUUUGGUUGUAAAGCACUUUAAGCAGUGAAGAAGACUCCAUGGUUAAUACCCAUGGACGAUGACAUUAGCUGCAGAAUAAGCACCGGCUAACUCUGUGCCAGCAGCCGCGGUAAUACAGAGGGUGCAAGCGUUAAUCGGAAUUACUGGGCGUAAAGCGAGCGUAGGUGGCUUGAUAAGUCAGAUGUGAAAGCCCCGGGCUUAACCUGGGAACGGCAUCUGAUACUGUUAGGCUAGAGUAGGUGAGAGGAAGGUAGAAUUCCAGGUGUAGCGGUGAAAUGCGUAGAGAUCUGGAGGAAUACCGAUGGCGAAGGCAGCCUUCUGGCAUCAUACUGACACUGAGGUUCGAAAGCGUGGGUAGCAAACAGGAUUAGAUACCCUGGUAGUCCACGCCGUAAACGAUGUCUACUAGUCGUUGGGUCCCUUGAGGACUUAGUGACGCAGCUAACGCAAUAAGUAGACCG
rnacentral:rRNA from 1 species